rnacentral:lncRNA from 1 species
AUGGGUAUUCCACUCAUGUCAUUUCCUCCUAGGAAGUUUUGGGUAUGGAUCAAAUACUUGCUUCUUGCAAGGUCUUCGUUGUGUUACCAAUGUCCAACCUUCUUCACUAUAUGACAUUGAUUCAUUAGUAAAGCAAAGUUGAAAAUAGGUGUCCUGAUAUGACAAUUAUGUUUUCUUUGGUUUUAGUGACUAGCAUUAAAUAGUAUUGGCACAUACCCCUAAUGUCUUAGGUGGAACAUGUGAUGGAAUGGGAUAGAAAUAGCCAAAUGCGACUAUAGCAUGAUUUGACUCUAUUACUUCAUCCAAAUCCAAACGAAUUCUUCUUUGUUUCAUAAGUUUCAUUAUGAGAUCUUU